GCCCACGUAGCUCAAUUGGUUAGAGCAUCCGACUUUUAAUCGGAAGGCUGGGGGUUCGAGUCCCCCCGUAGGCU
rnacentral:tRNA from 1 species